GAUGAACGCUGGCGGCGUGCCUAAUACAUGCAAGUCGAGCGAACAGAUGAGGAGCUUGCUCCUCUGACGUUAGCGGCGGACGGUGAGUAACACGUGGAUAACCUACCUAUAAGACUGGGAUAACUUCGGGAAACCGGAGCUAAUACCGGAUAAUAUAUUGAACCGCCUGGUUCAAUAGUGAAAGACGGUUUUGCUGUCACUUAUAGAUGGAUCCGCGCCGCAUUAGCUAGUUGGUAAGGUAACGGCUUACCAAGGCGACGAUGCGUAGCCGACCUGAGAGGGUGAUCGGCCACACUGGAACUGAGACACGGUCCAGACUCCUACGGGAGGCAGCAGUAGGGAAUCUUCCGCAAUGGGCGAAAGCCUGACGGAGCAACGCCGCGUGAGUGAUGAAGGUCUUCGGAUCGUAAAACUCUGUUAUUAGGGAAGAACAAAUGUGUAAGUAACUAUGCACGUCUUGACGGUACCUAAUCAGAAAGCCACGGCUAACUACGUG
rnacentral:rRNA from 1 species